GAAGAUACGUGAAGCUUCAAGAAUAGACAGCCACAAACUUAUACUGAUGUGGUUCAGGGAUAAAAGAGAGAAAGAGCAACAACGUCUAUGUAAUAUCCAAAGAGAUGAUGAUGCUGUAACACCACAAACACCUCAAGAACCUACUACUCCUAAUUCUGGCGAUGCCUUACGUAAGACUCCAUCAAUCAGUUAAAAGUUACAUUAUAUAAUCUCUUACACUCUUCUUUCUUUGCUCUGUUUCAGGUUCACUGUAGGAUCAUGGAGUGCAUGCGUGAUUACAAGGGGAAGGAAGAGACUGUAAAACAUCUAUUGGAUCAAUAUCGAAUCACACAUGAAUCAACCAACACAUGUAAGUAUAUUUCUUUUUACAGAACCAUUAAUGGGUCUUGAGGCAAAACAUUUAAAGAAUUUAAAAAAUAUAUAUAUUUGUAGUUUAGGAUCGUCUUGAACAAGGAUUUCAAGAUAACUUCAGUAUAUCUUACUAUGAAGCUCUUGAUGCAUUUGUUUGUUCUGCUGCAUAGAUGAUUUGGAUCGAUAAAUUUUGUAGAUUGCUCCUCUUAAGGAUUAUAUAUGAGCAAGCUGUUGCUCAGAGCGUAAAAGCUGAGCAUCAAGAUGCUUUUCAGAUAUUACUUCCUUUUGACAUUGGCAAAAGUGUAUUUCCGAAAGGGGUAUGAUUUUGUUAUCCUCUCUUUGUAUCAAGUUUAAUGACACUGAUGAUAUACAGGAAUCAUAUUUUUAUCUUCUCAUACUAUACUGCAUUUUAAUAUUUCAAAACCAUGAAGGAUCAGGUUGGGUCUGGUUAAGGUCGAAGGUGUAAAGAUCUCUCCUGAAACUGUUGUGAGUGGUAAAGACGCAAUAUUUAAAAUCUAAUGUUCUACAUGUAACUUCCCUUAUAUCAUCUUCCUGCUUCUUCUUUUCCAUAAAAUUUCUACUCCAUCAUUCAACACCUAGAAUUACGUGUUGACUUAUCUUCAUAAAAUAUUUUGUACAAGGCGAAGACAUCUCUGGAGGAAGAGUAGUAAUCAAGAUUUCAUACUUUGGAUUUCAUGUACCAACAUUCAUGACCUCUGUGAUGAUACAGGCUGUCUGAUCACACCAGAAAGCUAUGUACUUUCUCAUUCCCAAACACUUACAAUUACACCACCCGUAAGAUCUCUCAAGAGUGUGUUUAUUAAUAUCUUGGUUUCGAUCUCAUGCUCGAACUUGGGACAUGUUUAUUUUCUAAAUGGUUUUGAGAUUGCUUCUAUUGUUUGUAUUAAAUCUCAGUUUCACAUCAUAAUGUUUCGAUUAAGAUUGUUUUCCCUGAUCUAACAAUACGUUUCUUUUAAACAAAGUACUUAAACGCUUAAGGUGGCGAUAUAUGACAGGAAUGGCGGCUGACUCAUGUGCAUCAGCGUCAUGUUCAAGAUUACAUUAGAUUCAUCAGUGAGCAGAUGAUAUGGAAUUAGAAGCAACCGAAGCUUCUGUGCGAAAUCAUGUCAUGGCGGAUGUAAAGCAUAACUCUGAAGGUUUAUACACUUGACUUUAACUAUUGCAAUCAAUUUCUUCAAUCCAUAUCAAUUUAGUUCAUCACUUGCUCAUCAACUUUGCAUCCAUUGCCCAUAAACUGUUACGUUUAUUAUUGGUCUGUCAUUUGAUUUGAAACUCACAAUCUUAUAACUCAACAUGGUUGUCUCAGAGUUUCCUUUUUCUAUGGAGCUUCGCUGUAUAUCAGCUCCAAGAAAGAAGAAGAGGAAGGCCAUGCAAGAACCACAUCUAUCUAUCUAUCUAUCUAUAUAAAGUAGGCUUGUGCUCUAAGCACAGCCUUCCACAUCAUCGUUUUGCAUAGGGGCAAAUUUAGACACGUGGCAUCAUUCUAAAAAAAUUCGAUGGGCUUUAGUUCAAUCGUUGGUUGCUGGCCUAAUCUUUCACAAGAGAUUAUCUAACCUAACUUGAAAUCUAUCGUUCCCGAUUCCCCUUCCCCGGUGAAGAAACGCUCCUCCGUAUGACAAUCAAUCAACAUGACCCACUAAUCCCAUCCUCUCCUCCUGACUAAUGGCAACUUCUCAGCUCCAUUUACCCGACUUGAAGGCAGGCUGUUUCUUAGAUUGGAUCUGAUUAUGUUUGAUUAUCAAUCAUGUGUUUGGAGAUUUGUUCGAUUCUGAAUUGACGAGUGUCUAAUGUUCUAUCGGGCUUGGAUGUUUUCCUCUGAGAUAUGGAGCAACUUUUUUUGUCUGGCCAAGCUUUUACCAUUGUCGGACCACGCAAAUAUUGUAUCAGGUCAAGUAACAGCUAGGGACAGCGCUCCAGUUUUUUUAAAUAACGGCCAAAUCAACUGACUGGAGACAAAUCUUAAAAGGACAGCCACAUUGCUAGGAAUAGCCUAUCAAAAAGGUUGACACAAAAUACAUAGAUUGCUUUGUUUUGGAAUUAAUCUCUAAAGAGAAAGAGGUUCAUCCUCCCACGUUUCUUAAAACAACAAGAACAAAUUCGUUUAGUACACAUCUUGGUUCAUAGAGUCAAAGCUUUGGUACAUGAAUUUCUUCAAA